rnacentral:rRNA from 1 species
AGGCAUGCAAGUCGAACGGAGAUUUUUUAUAGCAAUAUGAAAGAUCUUAGUGGCGUAAGGGCGAGUAACACGUGGGUAACGUGCCUCGGCGCUGGGAAUACCCUUCCGAAAGGAAGGUUAAUACCGAAUAAUGGCAUGUGACGCAAGUCAUAUGGCUAAAGGUGGGGACCGCAAGGCCUGCCGCGUUGAGAGCGACCCGCGUCCUAUCAGCUAGUUGGUGGGGUAAUGGCCUACCAAGGCGACGACGGGUAGCCGAGUUGAGAGACUGACCGGCCGCACUGGGACUGAGACACUGCCCAGACUCCUACGGGAGGCUGCAGUCGAGAAUCUUUCGCAAUGGGGGAAACCCUGACGAAGCGACGCCGCGUGCGGGAAGAAGGCCUUCGGGUUGUAAACCGCUUUGAGCAGGGGCGAAUGCCGAGGCGUUAACAGCGCUAUCGGUUUGACGGUACCUGCAGAACAAGCCACGGCUAACUCUGUGCCAGCAGCCGCGGUAAGACAGAGGUGGCAAGCGUUGUUCGGAUUUACUGGGCGUAAAGGGGGUCUAGGUGGUUCGUUAUGUCUUCCGUGAAAUCCCGGAGCUUAACUCCGGAACUGCGGGAGAAACUGGCGAACUUGAGCGCGUGAUACGUAAGCGGAAUACUGGGUGUAGCGGUGAAAUGCGUAGAUAUCCAGUAGAACACCUGCGGCGAAAGCGGCUUACGAGCGCGUUGCUGACACUGAAGCCCGAAAGCGUGGGGAUCAAACAGGAUUAGAUACCCUGGUAGUCCACGCUGUAAACGAUGUGCACUAGAUGUAGGGAGAA